CUAUGUCGGGGGCGUCGGCGGGACUGGAGCGGGCAGAACCGGCCGACGAGUAGGAGAGGGCCGGGGAAGGCGCGCUCCCGGCAGGAGACUGAUGGCCGGAGCUGGGGGACACGUUCCUCGGCGACUUGGAAAUGUCACAAGCAUCCCCUUACGUGCAGGAGCUAGCUGGGGGCUGUGGAUGUGCUGCGUGCACACAAUCUGAAUUUACCCCGGAAUCCUGGGGAAUGAGGUCCCGCCGGGAAGGGUUCACAGUUGGUCGCUCCCUGCCCUCACUGACCACUCCUUCCUGGGACGUCCUCGUCUUUGCAAACUGUGAACCCCAGAGUGAUCACAGGACACAGUCCUCUCCCCGCCGGCCUCUCCCUGAACUUCAGACUCCUGUAACCAGCCGUCGGCACAGGUGUCUAAUGGCCAUUUCAGAACUGAACGUGUCCAAGAUGGAACUCAGGCCCGUUCCUCCUGCCACUUCCAAGGUCUCAGCAAAAGGUGGCAUUUGUUCCCCAAAACAAGGUAUUGCCUGCGACCCUCCCUUCCUGUGACGUACACCCUUCAGCAGAUCCCAUUGAUUCUGCCUUCAGACCAGGGCCACCAUCCUUGCCAGCAUCCAGGCACCACCCUCUGAGAGUGGCAGGCAGGCAGAGUGCCCCCAGGGGACUGAAAGCUGCUUCCAGCAUGAAUGACUGGGACCCGCCCCUCCCUGAGUCAGCAGCUGCCACCCCGUCUCGUCCCAUCCUCUGCGUGUCAUCUUCACCGCGCUAGGCGACACCUUGUCUCUACCACGUGUCGUGAUCAUGAGUUGGUGUGUUGACUGCCUUUGGACAGUUCCGAACACUUAUGCCAAAACUACACAUUCACUUUUCCUUCCCUUCCCAAGAUGCAGCCAGGCUGGCACGGACAUCUGCAACCCAGGCGCGCGGGGGGCAGCAUGGAGGGGGCGGCGGGGGAGAGGCGCUUACCGAAGAGCGCGAGCAGAGACUGCAGGGCAAAGUGCACGGUUCGCCGGUUGGCUUGUUUCCCGGUUUUCAGGAUUACUUCCUCCUGACCCACUUCACAGAGAUCGAACCCUAGGGGAGCAAAGAAUGUAAACAUCUGCUUCCGUAGGGAAGAGUCCACGUCUGGAAAAGGCUGAGAGCCGCGGGGCUCCUUGGACGGUCUCACGGGAAGCCCCGCGGGCCCCUCAGCAAGCGCCCAGCCUGGGGUGGCCCCGGGUGCCGGUGCGGGGCCCCCCCGAGUGCAGAGUGUGCACCUGGAGGCCUGGCUCCCUCCCUCCUGCCCGUCCUGGAGCACCGGCAGCUUUCCCACCCUCAGCUGUGUUCCCGAGAGCCCCUGGUCCCAAUCAGUCGGGCUCAUUCCUUCCAAGAACCGUGCACUGAAAAAAGACUUGAAGAGGGACAAAAACCGGCCACUCCAUUCGGCCCGGGGUCCAACACUUAAAGCUGGUGCCCGGGAAGGUGGAGGCUUCUUAAGGGCCCGGACGGUGUCUUCACACGUGCUCAGCGUCUGCCACCAAGGGCGUGGAAAUGAGCGCGCCUGACGAUGGAGCGUCUGCUUUCUGGGCCGAGCCACCCCACUGGGACUGCGCUCUGUUUGUUCUGCUGAAGUCCAGGGGGACUGCUCCCUGACACCAACGGCUCUACUGAGACGUGGAGCGGGCACAGCAAAGGGCAGGAGCCGCCCGAGCAGGAGGCGAGCUACCGAGCUGCCACCAGCGCACGGAGACUUAUUAGAGACCUCCCAAAGGCACCUGGCGCACUUCUCCCUGGGAGGCACAUGGGAAGAAGGAGCCAAACGCAGACGCCGUGGCCAAAGGCUGUGUGCACAGACAGGAUGUAGGGCCCGCGGAGCCCUCAGCACCCAACGGCCGCGUCCAGCCUCCCGCAGCGGAUCACUGAGAGCCGCCUGCAACCGCAGAAGCGCUUGGUGCCGACGGCCCAUGGGGCAGGCACCUGUGAUCCCGGGCCCUUCCCUCCUCUGACGUACAAUCUGCCGUAGCCUGCAUGCUGUGCAUGUCAUGGCCGAGUGUUCGCCAAAGCAGAAGGGGGUCUACGUUUUCAUUCUUACUCCAGGGUUCUGAUACGGGUCUGGCGCUAAUUCCUCUGGGAAUUCGGUUCACUCGAGGAGCUACCUCGGCCUUCCGGUUGCUCUGAGACAUUUUCCCCUCUGGACUCAGAAAUAAACAGUCCCUGGAAGCAGCAGGAAGGUCUCCGAGAACUCAGUAUUUCAGGGCGAAUAACUAAUUCAUAUUAAAUGUAAGAUUUUGGUUAGAAACCUCUACUUCUAGCAGAACGAUGUGACUUGGUUCCUCCAACAGCACUGAAGUAAAUAGCCAACAGCCCUGUGAUGGGUUGUGAUGGCUCCUGCUGGGUGCUGAGGGCUGGAAAGAGGGCACCCGGUGCCUCAGAGCCCUCAAGAGUGAGGGAGUCACUUGUCCAGAUGCCCAGCCUGCAGAGACUUUUCCUCCUCCGGUCCCAGUCCAGGCACACUGGGUCGCCCCUUGAAUAUCAGUGGAUUUGGAAAGUGCCAGGAAGUAGGAAAUUACCCACAAUUCCCAACACCGAGGAGAGCUAACAAUCCACUUGGAAAUAUCCAGUUUACCAGUGAGAAGGGCUGGCUGUCAGACCCACACUGAAGGGAGGAGGUGUGGGCCCUGCAUGAGGAAGACAGCUUUUCCUUUAUAGAGAAAGGUCUUGGCUCCGUCUUCCCUCACCUGGGUCCUGUGUCACUGCUCCAGGGACAGGCCUGUCCUAGAGGUCAAACGAGAUUCCUCCUGAGUGUGGACCUGGCUAACUGCUACUGACUAUAUUUACUUAGAUAUUAAUUUGUUAUGUUUAUACCAAGAAGACUGUGCUUUAAGUCCACAGAAAGAGUACAAAUCAUAAAGGAUGUCAGAGCAUUGACUUAUAGAGAUUCAGAGUCCCUAUGGGGCUUUGGGGGUUCCCCCAUUAAAAGCAAACAGAGCCAGGGGCGCCUGGGUGGCUCAGUUGGUUAAGCAUCCGACUCUUGAUUUUGGCUCAGGUCAUGAUCUCACCCUUCGUGAGAUCGAGCCCUGCGUCGGGCUCUGUGCUGAGAGCAUGGAGCCUGCUUGGGAUUCUGUCUCUCCCUCUCUCUCUCUCAAAAUAAAUAAACAUUAAAAAUAAUAAUUAAAAAACAAAAAAAGCAAAUGGAGCCAGCCCUAAGUUGAGGCGGGCCGGGAAAGGUCACCUGCAAAAUGGGUUAUAAAUGAGGCCUUAUGCUGAAUAUCCAGGUUUCACAAGCAGAAGAAAACUGCCUAAGGACUGGCUGCUCUGCCAUGUCGGAUGGCCUGGUCCCCGUGACAGUGACUCAAAGCUGUGUCAUCCUCCGGAACCCCCACUCCCUCAGGUUCAGACAAAGGCCUUCCCGUGGCCUCAUCUGUCCCUGUGCCUCCUGCACCAGCAUGGGUGCCUCACACAUAUGCUCACCGAUGGCUCUUCCCUCUGCCUGGGUCUUUCCCCCUGAAGACACCCACCUGCCUCCCUGCCUCCUACCCUUGCAGCCAUCGCUAGGACCCUAAUGCUUCUGCCUGUGACCUAAGGUGCUCCCCUUAGGCCAAGUGUCUACCAUAUCUGCCCACGAGGCUGACAACUCCAGGAGCGCACGGUCCUCUGCUCAGUGCCGCACCCCCAGAGCCUAGCACCUUGCCUCACAGGACCCAGGCGUUCGCAGAGAAGCUGGUGGAGGGAAUGGCUCCCGGGCAAAUCACACAGGCACUUAAGUGGGACAGGAGAGCAGCCUGCAGCCUCUUGUGGUUUUCGUAUCCAGAAACACAUCUAGUAAAGGAGCAAUGAUGUCAAGCUGCCUCACCAUGUUACAGUGUCACAAAAGGAACAGAAAGCAUCUGGGUGCACAGGAAUCCUGGUGCGUGCAGUUCUAGGUCCCCAGCACCAAAUCUAACAAAUCUAACGGAGUUUCAACAGUAGGAUAGAGACCGACCCUAAAACCCUUAUUUUGUGACUUUGUUUUCUUUAGCUUUUAAUCAUGGCUUGAUCCCUAAUGGUGCUGAAAGCUAGCGCGUUUAUAUUAAGAUGAUGCCUAGAAAUGAGAGAUGAGACCAAAAGGUAGGUAGGGGAGAUGGAACCAGGCUGGAGGGCUGUUUGGAAACUGGGCUAAAGUGCUGGGAUCUUUGAACCAUCUUUACAUAACAAAACAGCUAAGAAAACACAAAGACCCCUAAGAAUCUACCAGCCUUCCCCAAUAGAAACUGGGAGAAACAGGGUUUUAAAAAACAGGAGUGAAGACGUGGGCGAAGGGUGCCCCGUCCUACCUAGAGCCGCCAG